rnacentral:rRNA from 1 species
AGGUUACUGCUAUCGGUGUUCGCCUAAGCCAUGCGAGUCAUAUGUUCGUAAGAACAUGGCGUACUGCUCAGUAACACGUGGAUAACCUGCCCUUGGGUCCGGCAUAACCCCGGGAAACUGGGGAUAAUUCCGGAUAACGCACAUAUGCUGGAAUGCUUUUUGCGUAAAAUGGAUUCGUCUGCCCAAGGAUGGGUCUGCGGCCUAUCAGGUAGUAGUGGGUGUAAUGUACCUACUAGCCUACGACGGGUACGGGUUGUGAGAGCAAGAGCCCGGAGAUGGAUUCUGAGACAUGAAUCCAGGCCCUACGGGGCGCAGCAGGCGCGAAAACUUUACAAUGCGGGAAACCGUGAUAAGGGGACACCGAGUGCCAGCAUCUUAUGCUGGCUGUCCGGGUGUGUAAAAUACACCUGUUAGCAAGGGCCGGGCAAGACCGGUACCAGCCGCCGCGGUAACACCGGCGGCCCGAGUGGUGAUCGUGAUUAUUGGGUCUAAAGGGUCCGUAGCCGGUUUGGUCAGUCCUCCGGGAAAUCUGACAGCUCAACUGUUAGGCUAUCGGAGGAUACUGCCAGACUUGGAACCGGGAGAGGUAAGAGGUACUACAGGGGUAGGAGUGGAAUCUUGUAAUCCCUGUGGGACCACCUGUGGCGAAGGCGUCUUACCAGAACGGGUUCGACGGUGAGGGACGAAAGCUGGGGGCACGAACCGGAUUAGAUACCCGGGUAGUCCCAGCCGUAAACGAUGCUCGCUAGGUGUCAGGCAUGGCGCGACCGUGUCUGGUGCCGCAGGGAAGCCGUGAAGCGAGCCACCUGGGAAGUACGGCCGCAAGGCUGAAACUUAA